UCUAGUUGGAACGACUGCACCCCCUUUUGAGUGAAAACAAGCACUGAAAAAGUAAAGGCAAUAAAUUGAAAAACUAGCAAUAGCAUAACUAAGAGCUGUUGGAUCAUAUUUUGCGAAUGAGUCAGUUAACAAAAACAAAAAAAAAACUUCUUUAGCUCCUCAAAGAAUGAAGGACAGUAAAAGUGGAGAUCUGUGGUUUCAGACCAAACACAGAAAGGAUGGAAUUGAGGAGUUCUGUUUCCCAUGUGGUCAUAUACAUGUACAGUAGGGGAAAACUCUUAAAAUUUUAUACAUAAUCUCAAAUAUUGUUUUGAAACGUUUGGUGGAAAAAUCAUUUUUUGUAUUUCUGUAUCAGAAAAAACACACAAAUGCAAAAAAAUAAACUAAAUUCUUGACAGUUUCCAUAUGUUAUGGAAACAUCUAGUUUUUACCUCGAUGGGACAGAGCAUGUGCAGAAGGGAGCACGUGGGUUUGGAGAAUGGAACAAUAUUUGACAGUUUGAGUGAUUCUUAAUGCAAUAUAUCACAAAUACAUGGAGUGUCCAAAUACAUUUUUCCGCCACUGUAUAUGUGAUCAGCUGGAGGAGCCAAAAUCAGGGUAAAAAAAAAAACACCAGAAUUUGGAAACACACACCUUCCUUCUGCAGCUCCUCUUAGUCCAAAUCAAAAGAAUGUGACAUGACAUCGUUUCACACUGCUAUUGAAAAGUGAAGCUACUUUUCUACGCUUCCAUGUCAUGCUAUGGACUAAACUCAUCUGAACAGUGAUGGGUAAUUACAGCUGUGAAUCACAAAUUUAAAGCUCCUACAUGCCUGGAAAACGUCUGUCUGCAUCAUGGGAAAGGUUUUAUACAGACCUACAGUCCAUAGACGUGGGUUGGAUUCUUGUUUCAGGUCAAACCACCUGAAUCACAAUAUGUUUAAAGGUAAUAAUUGAAUUUUUGUCUAAUCAUUUUCGAAACUGCUUUGUCCUAGUGAGGGUCAUGGGGGGGCUGGAGUUGGAAUUUUUGUCCAUUGAUUCUAAAACUGUCAUUGCUGAUCACUGAUCUGCAAUGACUUAACAGUGUUUGACUUGCUGCAGAAUUUCAGCUGCUAAAAAGCAAUACAGUUUCUGAUUUUCUACUUUUACAUUUGCACCCAUUUGUAAAACCUUUGGAAUUUGUGUUCAGAUUACUGCUUGUUUUCAACCAGAAUGAGGUUAAGGAUGUAUGGGUAAAAUACUCAGAUGGGUUCUGAUAUAUUACUAAUAUAACUCAGAUUAAUCUACUGUUUACUAAUGUUUAUCUACUAAUGUAAUAGAUCUUAGUAUUUGAACAUAUUCAUUUUGUCAAGAAUGUAUCACUAAUUGCCAGUAAAUGUAAUUUCAGGCUGAUAUACGGACUGGUA